rnacentral:rRNA from 1 species
GACGAACGCUGGCGGCGUGCCUAAUACAUGCAAGUAGAACGCUGAAGGAGGAGCUUGCUUCUCUGGAUGAGUUGCGAACGGGUGAGUAACGCGUAGGUAACCUGCCUGGUAGCGGGGGAUAACUAUUGGAAACGAUAGCUAAUACCGCAUAAUAGUAGAUGUUGCAUGACAUUUGCUUAAAAGGUGCAAUUGCAUCACUACCAGAUGGACCUGCGUUGUAUUAGCUAGUUGGUGGGGUAACGGCUCACCAAGGCGACGAUACAUAGCCGACCUGAGAGGGGGAUCGGCCACACUGGGACUGGGACACGGCCCAGACUCCUGCGGGAGGCAGCAGUAGGGAAUCUUCGGCAAUGGACGGAAGUCUGACCGAGCAACGCCGCGUGAGUGAAGAAGGUUUUCGGAUCGUAAAGCUCUGUUGUAAGAGAAGAACGAGUGUGAGAGUGGAAAGUUCACACUGUGACGGUAUCUUAGCAGAAAGGGACGGCUAACUACGUG